rnacentral:ncRNA from 1 species
AUAUUCAAAGGGCAAAUAUAUGGAAACAUAUAGACGCAAAGUCACAGAGCUACAGGAGAAAUCCCAUGCUGGCUGGACCGCAAUA